rnacentral:rRNA from 1 species
UACAGAGGUCUCAAGCGUUGUUCGGAUUCAUUGGGCGUAAAGGGUGCGUAGGUGGCGCCGUAAGUCAGGUGUGGAAUUUCGGAGCUUAACUCCGAAACUGCAUUUGAUACUGCGGUGCUUGAGGACUGGAGAGGAGACUGGAAUUUACGGUGUAGCAGUGAAAUGCGUAGAUAUCGUAAGGAAGACCAGUGGCGAAGGCGGGUCUCUGGACAGUUCCUGACACUGAGGCACGAAGGCCAGGGGAGCAAACGGG